AGUGUUAAAAAAAUUCAGCAUAUAAAAAAAUUCAACUUUUAAAAAUUCAAAUGCAAUAUUUUCAGUGUCCUAAAAAUUCAACUUGCUCAAAUUCGCUGUCUCAAAUUCAACAUCUAAAAAUUCGCUGUACAAAAAUGGCGAGGUUACUUCAGGUCACAGACAUUAGCAAUCGUUGUCAGAUUUCAACACUGAGCUAAUCACAUGACCUAAGCGUCAUAUUGAAGAAAUACCAGCAUCACCGAGGCCAGCGACCAUGGAGGCGAACGCAAACCCAACGGGUGUAGAUUCCCGAAAUUGAAUGGGAGGAGUGCGGGCUUCCUCUUCAGGAAGAGUCAAACGUCACAGUACCAAAUUCAAGUUGUGCAACUGACUGACGAACAAAUGGACUUAAGGGACGCAGUAAACCCAAAAGGCACAUCACUGUCUUUUGGUUGUGACAUUUAUAUUGSUGCAGUUCUGUUUUGUGAACAGUUCUUCACUCUGUGAAACUUGUCCAGUUUCAAAAUUCAGCAUUUAUGAAAUGUAAAGCUAAGUGCUGAUCAUAUUACCACAAAGGUAAAAUUUGUGCUUUGGAAAAGUGAGUCAUAGUGCUUUUAUGGUAGACAUGUUAAAGAACUAAAAUGUUCUACAUUUGUGAGUUGAUUGUUCUUUUUUUCUCAAAAGGAACCUAGUAGGUACAGGUGUGUAGGACCUUAAUUUUCUUGCAUUAUAAGAAUGGAAAAGUUAAGUUUGUCUUAUGUCAUUUAUUUUCUAAUACUUCAAGCAUAGAUGAAUAUUCAAUAAAAUAUUGCAUAAAAACAGUUUCCGUUUCAUAUUUCCUGUACAAACAGUGCUGACUCAGAAACUCUGAACAUAGUUACUCUAACAUUUAAGAUUUACAGGGAUGCUUGACAAACGUUUCAGGUACUUAGUCAUCACUUCAAAGAACACAACUUAAUGUCAAGACUGCGGUGAAUGAUGAACAGUAUUUGUAAAAAAAAA